UUGGAGGGCAAGUCUGGUGCCAGCAGCCGCGGUAAUUCCAGCUCCAAUAGCGUAUAUUAAAGUUGUUGCAGUUAAAAAGCUCGUAGUUGAAUUUCGGGAUUGACGUGAUGGUCAUGCCUUAAGGGGUAUGAACUGUUACUGUUGAUUUCUCACCUUCUGGAGAAACUUGAUGUCCUUUAUUGUGUGUCUUGCGGAUCCAGGACCUUUACCUUGAAAAAAUUAGAGUGUUUAAAGCAGGCUCAUGCUUGAAUACAUUAGCAUGGAAUAAUGAAAUAGGACGUUUGAUUCUAUUUUGUUGGUUUCUAGGAUCGACGUAAUGAUUAAUAGGGAUAGUUGGGGGCAUUAGUAUUCAAUUGUCAGAGGUGAAAUUCUUGGAUUUAUUGAAGACUAACUACUGCGAAAGCAUUUGCCAAGGAUGUUUUCAUUAAUCAAGAACGAAAGUUAGGGGAUCGAAGACGAUCAGAUACCGUCGUAGUCUUAACCAUAAACUAUGCCGACUAGGGAUCGGAUGAUGUUAAUUUUUUAAUGACUCAUUCGGCGCCUUACGGGAAACCAAAGUGUUUGGGUUC
rnacentral:rRNA from 1 species